GUGGUGAUAGUUUCAAUAGGAAAGGUGGUCGAUGGUGAAGACUUGCUGAUUUUUCUGGAUUUAUUCCUGAGUCAGUCACCCGGAUAAUCUGAUAAAGAUCACACCAUGGAUGGUACAGCUCAC
rnacentral:lncRNA from 14 species